GGCCCGUUGGUCAAGCGGUUAAGACACCGCCCUUUCACGGCGGUAACAUGGGUUCGAUUCCCAUACGGGUCACCA
rnacentral:tRNA from 1 species